rnacentral:tRNA from 1 species
GGGCCUGUGGUCUAGUGGUACGACGCGUCAUUCGCAUUGACGAAACGGGAGUCCGAUUCUCCCCAGGUCCA